rnacentral:rRNA from 1 species
AUGCUGAAGUACUUUGCAGUUUUGAGCAGGGAAUCCUACUCCCGUGCGAAUGGCAUCAGGAAAAGGUGGACUCCCUUCUCCUUCUCCACCCAGCACUAUCGGUCGGACCUGAACAGCGCCGUCGUGCGGGUAACAGUGGAGGGUGUCAGAUCAAGUUGGGCCUUGCUUGACUGGCCCAUCUCCAAGCGAAUCAUUUCUUUCCUCUUCUCUCGGGGAGCUCCUAGUUGGGGCUGCAUGCGCCAGUUUCCUAAGCUGACGCCCACGCACCAUCGCCCGUGGGCCAGCCCAUUUAGGCGAGUGCUCGCUGACUAUCUGGAAGGGGAAUGCCCGCGUCUUCUGGACACAAGUCUACUCCUCCGCCGGUUCUCCUCACAAUACAACCCUUUAACGGUCACGGUAUGGGCGCCUCCUCACGGUGUCCACGUCGACAGGAAAGGACAAACGGGAGCAGAAAAAAAAGUAAACAAUGCAACGGAUCAACACACCAUCGUUUCCUUCCCUGCGAAGGCAACUCCCCUGUCAAAUCGCCUUCUCCUCCCUCCUUCCCUCAUCCCUGCGCCGCCACCUCCGCCACUUCUCCUCUCCCCUAGCCAAGCUCGAGCCCUCCGCCGUCCCCUCCUCCUUGAGCACCUCUCCCUUCCUCUAAAGAAGGAACACGGGCCCGCCGCUACACCUGAGCCGCCAGAAGGUCGUCGGGUGGAGGUGUCCCAGGUCUUGAAGCCUCCGGAGUCGUUGUCGCUGUAUGGAGAUGGGUCGGCAGAGGAUGACGGUGUUGGGGUCAGGAGGGCAAAGGCGCCGCCGACGCUGAUGUGGAGGUUGAGGCCUCUCCCGCCGUUGUCUCCUUUUCGAGGCUGUCCGACUUGGCCGACGGCCUCGACUAGGUGCUCAUGGCUGCUGGCGCACUCGCUACCGCCGCCCACGGCGCAUCACUCGUCAUCGGCCUGCACUAUUUCAGGAGGUCCUUCAAUUUGGUCGACACUGAACUGGUUCAGUGUGUUCUCCACAGCCUGCUCCUCGACUAAUUUAUGCAGAGCAAAGCACACAAUAGUACAAGACCGGCAGGCGGCAGCAACAAGGCCUCCACAUACAAGCUCUCUUGUUGCAAUCUCUCUUGAUUAUUCUGGCCCAUCAUCAAACUUGAUUAGCGACAGAGAAACAACUUGUCAGAUACAAGAUCAACAUAUGGUUGCCAAUAUUGUGUCAAGUCCUAUAAUUGACAAAUACAUCGGAGAAAUUGCUCAUUUAAUCAGAGAAAUGUUUGGCUAUGCACGUGAUCACCAACGAUGCAUUAUCUUCAUGGAUGAAAUCGAUGCAAUUGGUGAGAGAAGAUUUAGUGAGGGAACCUGUGACGUCCGUGAGAUCCAGCGGACACUCAUGGAGCUUCUUAAUCAUUUAGAUGGAUUUGAUGAGCUUGGCAAGGUAUGUUUCCUUUCACUAGGCAAUUGUACUUUGUUCUGGGUUGCAUCAACUUGCAUCAGUCGCUGCUCCUCGUGUCCAGACAAGAUAAGUGCGCACAUGCCCGCUCAGGUGGCGCCCCAGCCUCUAGUGAUCAAGAAUGAUGCCUUGGUUUGGAUGACCGUCGGUGCCAAGAACCCAGGAAAGCUAAUUUUGGAUGACCGUCGGUGCCAAGUACGAACUGAAGCCAUAAUAUAUCAUCAGACUGAAACUGACACUAUCUCCACCCGCAAACCUGUGCUAAUUAAUUCUCCAUCCAUAGAAUUCGACAGCAUCUCUUUCUUUACAUUCACAACUGCAAAGAAAGAUCACACAUCCAUCCACAACUACCUGCAUGCAACACCAUGCCACCAUACCAACAACAUGCAUGGUUCACCCAUAUCAUCUCCAAGCCUAGUAGUAGUAGUAGUAGAUCCAAGGUCGGGUUGGUUCGACGCCAACACAAAAGACAACAUGCAGUACGUUCCAUGGUUUCCAGCGACAUCAAAGGACCGACUAACACACGACAGGUAG